GACAGAGGGUGCAAACGUUGUUCGGAAUUACUGGGCGUAAAGCGCGUGUAGGCGGCCCUGCAAGUCGGAUGUGAAAUCCCACGGCUCAACCGUGGAAGUGCAUUCGAAACUGCAGGGCUAGAGUCCUGGAGAGGAAGGUGGAAUGCUUGGUGUAGAGGUGAAAUUCGUAGAUAUCAAGCGGAACACCGGUGGCGAAGGCGGCCUUCUGGACAGUGACUGAUGCUGAGACGCGAAAGCGUGGGGAGCAAACAGG
rnacentral:rRNA from 1 species